rnacentral:tRNA from 1 species
GGGGAUAUAGCUCAGUUGGUAGAGUUCUAAUCCCUGGCACCAAAAAAUAAAUAAAUAAAUUAAAAAAAAAUAAAAAAAAUAAAGAAAAAAAAAAACAAAGAAAGAAAUUUAAAAAAAGAAAAAAAGGCUGGGGAUCUAGCUCAAUGGAAGUGCACCAAGGGGUUCAAUCCCCAAUACUCACC